UACAAAUCCCACGAUUCCCUCAAUAAUCGCAUCAUCCAGGAGCUUCUGGAUCGCCCAGAUAAAGCCAGAGGAUUGAAGCUGACUGUGUUUACGUGAUUUUUUGGCUCUUCCUGACAGCAGAAGGGCGGAACAGCGAUGAAAAUGGACUUAAAUGCCAUCAUAGAGAAAAUGGAAACGGGCGACCAGGACGCCGCACUGACAGCUUUACAGACAUAUAAUAAAGAGAAAUCACAGUGCUUUUCAUUCACCUCUGGAGAAGAGGAGGACAGAGAGGAUGGAGAUAUGAUCGAGGUAUACGGAUAGUUCACUGUUUUAGACGUAGUGUAGCAUUAGUACAGAACCCAAAGCCUAUUUCUCAUUCCUGAUUUAAUGAUUUUGGUGCUUUGACUUCUGCAGAUUAACAAAGACGGUUUUAUACUGUAUCACAAGAUGCCGUGCAGAAAUAAAAAAAGAAAUACGCUUUGGGGAUUUUGUGUUUCGUGAGAAUCAGCGUGGUUUGGUAUCUGUAUUCUGUCAUAUUUCAUUUGCAUUGUUUACUGCAGGAAUGUUUUUCAGAACAUCGACGCUAGUAGUUGAUCGAUAUGUACUUUUAAUGGCCAAUGCUAAUAUCUCGGGUCAUAACCUUAAAAUGGGUCACAGGUCUGUUGUUGUGGGUGGAGGAAAGCAGAGAAAAAUCAAUUCUUUAUGUUGGCAAUGAAAUAUUAGGCUUAUAUUAAUGCAGGAGAGGAUAGAUUUUAAGAAGAGAGACAAAGGUUUGGUGCAACUUUGACUUUUACUGCAUUGAUUUAUUCAUUUGUUUAUUCAUUGCUAAAUGUUUACAUUUUAUUUAGUUUAGUUAUUAGUUUUAAUGUGUUUAGUUCAGGUCAU